rnacentral:rRNA from 1 species
GGAGGGUGCAAGCGUUGUUCGGAAUUACUGGGCGUAAAGAGCGCGUAGGCGGCCUCUUAUGUCAGGUGUGAAAGCCCUCGGCCCAACCGAGGAAGUGCGCCUGAAACUGAGUGGCUUGAGUACGAGAGAGGAGGACGGAAUUCCCAGUGUAGAGGUGAAAUUCGUAGAUAUUGGGAAGAACACCGGUGGCGAAAGCGGUUCUCUGGAUCGAUACUGACGCUAAGGCGCGAAAGCGUGGGGAGCAAACAGGGAUUAGAUACCCUGGUAGUCCACGCUGUAAACGAUGGAUAUUAGUUGUUGCGGGCUUAUAAACUCGCAGUGACGACGCUAACGCAUUAAAUAUCCCCGCCUGGGGAUUACGGCCGCAAGGUUA